AUUGAACGCUGGCGGCAGGCCUAACACAUGCAAGUCGAACGAGUGGCGGACGGGUGAGUAAUGUCUGGGAAACUGCCUGAUGGAGGGGGAUAACUACUGGAAACGGUAGCUAAUACCGCCUACCAUCGCAUGUGCCCUGAUGGGAUUAGCUAGUAGGUGGGGUAAAGGCUCACCAAGGCGAUGAUCCCUAGCUGGUCUGAGAGGAUGACCAGCCACACUGGAACUGAGACACGGUCAAGACUCCUACGGGAGGCAGCAGUGGGGAAUAUUGAAAAAUGGGCGAAAGCCUGAUGCAGCAAUGCCGCGGGUAUGAAGAAGGCCGUCGGGUUGUAAAGUACUUUAAGCGGGGAGGCGUUACCCGCAGAAGAAGCACCGGCUAACUCCGUGCCAGCAGCCGCGGUAAUUCC
rnacentral:rRNA from 1 species